rnacentral:rRNA from 1 species
GACGAGGGGUCCAAGCGUUGUUCGGAAUUAUUGGGCGUAAAGCGGGUGUAGGUGGCUCUAUAAGUCAGGAGUGAAAUCCCCGAGCUUAACUUGGGAAGUGCUUUUGAUACUGCAGAGCUUGAAUGUGGGAGAGGAUAAUAGAAUUCCAGGUGUAGUGGUGAAAUACGUAGAUAUCUGGAGGAAUACCGGUGGCGAAGGCGGCAUCCUGGACCAACACUGACACUGAGGAGCGAAAGCCAGGGGAGCAAACGGG